rnacentral:rRNA from 1 species
GUAAGGACGGUGCCAGCCGCCGCGGUAAUACCGGCGCCUCAAGUGGUAGUCGAUUUUAUUGGGCCUAAAACGUCCGUAGCCUGUUUGGUACAUUCGUGGGUAAAUCAACCAGCUCAACUGACUGAAUUCUGCGAGCACGGCCAGACUUGGGACCGGGAGAGGUGUGGGGUACGCUCAGGGUAGGGGUAAAAUCCUGUCAUCCUGAGCGGACCACCUGUUGCGAAGGCGCCACACUAGAACGGAUCCGACGGUCAGGGACGAAGCCUAGGGGCACGAACCGGAUUAGAUACCCGGGUAGUCCUAGGUGUAAACGCUGUGGACUUGGUGUUGGGGACUCUCCGAGAUUCCUCAGUGCCGAAGCGAAGGUGAUAAGUCCACUGCCUGGGGAGUACGGUCGCAAGGCUGAAACUUAAAGGAAUUGGCGGGGGAGCACCGCAACCUGAGGAUUGUGCGGUUUAAUU